rnacentral:snRNA from 1 species
AUACUAGCUACAGCGGUACAUAUUCUAAAAUUGGUACGAUACAGAGAAGAUUAGCACAGCCCCUGCGCAAGGAUGACACGCAAAUUCAUGAAGCGUUCCAUACUUUU